GUGGGGAAUUUUGGACAAUGGGCGCAAGCCUGAUCCAGCAAUGCCGCGUGCAGGAAGAAGGCCUUCGGGUUGUAAACUGCUUUUGUACGGAACGAAACGGUCCGGGUUAAUACCCUGGGCUAAUGACGGUACCGUAAGAAUAAGCACCGGCUAACUACGUGCCAGCAGCCGCGGUAAUACGUCGGGUGCAAGCGUUAAUCGGAAUUACUGGGCGUAAAGCGUGCGCAGGCGGUUUUGUAAGACAGGCGUGAAAUCCCCGGGCUCAACCUGGGAAUUGCGCUUGUGACUGGAAGGAUGGAGUGCGGCAGAGGGGGAUGGAAUUCCGCGUGUAGCAGUGAAAUGCGUAGAUAUGCGGAGGAACACCGAUGGCGAAGGCAAUCCCCUGGGCCUGCACUGACGCUCAUGCACGAAAGCGUGGGGAGCAAACAGGAUUAGAAACCCGGGUAGUCC
rnacentral:rRNA from 1 species